AGGACGUUAGAGACGAUGACGUGGAUAGGCGGCAGGUGCAGGACGGGAGACCGUUACAGCCGAGCCGUACUAAUGACCUGAAGGCCGUAGC
rnacentral:rRNA from 1 species